rnacentral:rRNA from 1 species
UACGGAGGAUGCGAGCGUUAUCCGGAUUUAUUGGGUUUAAAGGGUGCGUAGGCGGGCUUUUAAGUCAGCGGUAAAAAUUCGGGGCUCAACCCCGUCCGGCCGUUGAAACUGGGGGUCUUGAGUGGGCGAGAAGAAGGCGGAAUGCGUGGUGUAGCGGUGAAAUGCAUAGAUAUCACGCAGAACCCCGAUUGCGAAGGCAGCAUACCGGCGCCCUACUGACGCUGAGGCACGAAAGCGUGGGUAUCGAACAGG